CACCACAGCCAUUUCACCCUGCAGCCCAAGAGGAGUUAGGAAGCUAAGCAGGGCUGAGCCUGGUCAGUACCUAGAUGGGAGACCACAUGGGAAAACUAGGUUGCUGUUGGAA
rfam:Danio rerio chromosome 17 genomic contig CTG1671, GRCz11 reference primary assembly.